rnacentral:rRNA from 1 species
AGGACGAACGCUGGCGGCGUGCUUAACACAUGCAAGUCGAGCGGAAAGGCCCUUCGGGGUACUCGAGCGGCGAACGGGUGAGUAACACGUGAGCAACCUGCCCUUGGCUCUGGGAUAGCCUCCGGAAACGGGGAUUAAUACCGGACAUUCACUGAUCCCUGCAUGGGGGGAUGGUGGAAAGUUUUUCGGCCAGGGAGGGCUCGCGGCCUAUCAGCUUGUGGCGGGGUAACGCCCACAAGGCGACGACGGGUA